ACUGUGGUUAGUGUAGGGCUCGGCCUCUGAUGAGUGAGGAUCUUUCCUCAAAGCCCACCUUUGUCCAAAGAAAGAAUCUGAGCCUCCCCUUGACUUAUUUUAUUUUUUGCCAGUUUUGUAAAUGCUGUAUGCUUCCAUACUACCCCCUUCCCUAAUUUCCACCUCUAGAAUUAACUGCCAGAGAUACAGUUGUCCACAUGGAAUGUAGUAUAAUUGUGAUAGAAAGGAAGAAAUCCCCCUUGCUUAGUAUUAAAAGUUUCUGGUUAAAAUAACUGACUAAAUAUUAAGUAAAACAUCACCUUCUGGGUACAAUGCAGAAAAGUAAAAGCAGUUCAUAUAAGAUUACUAAACUUUGGGAGGUCUUCAAGACCAGCCCUGGCAACAUAGCGAGACCCCAUGUCUGCAAAAAAAGUUUUAAAAAUUAGCCGGGCAUGGUGGCGUGCACUUGUAGUCCCAGCUACUCAGGAGGCUGAGGCAGGAGGAUCGCUUGAGCCCAGGAGUCUGAGGUUGCAGUGAGCCGUGGUGACACCACUGCACUCCCGCCUGGGUGACAGAGUGAGAUCCAAAAAAAUUUACUGAAAUAACAAAAACGUGGACUUUGGGAUUUCCUCUAACUGCUGCAAAUUAUAACACAGAAUUGCUCAGUGUUAAUACUUGAAUUGUGGGGCCAAGUCUUCUGGCUGCCCUAGUUCUCUUUUCUGGCAUUUGAAAGCCCUUGAGCUAGCUAUGGAGCUAAUCUUUGGACAGGCUUUUUGGUUCCCAGGAAUGUCAUGCCUUUGAAUUUCCAAUCUAUAUAUAUACAGUGUGUGUGUAUGUAUACCUGUCUUUUCACUGUAAGGCACCUCCACCCAUCCCUUAUAGAAGGAGCCACAAACAAUCAAGCAAAUGGAUGGAGGUUAAUUAAGGGGAAGAGGAAAUAGUCUGUUCUCUGACUCGAGACCUGAAAUUGCAGUGGGGCACGUAAGAGAAAGUGAAGCAACAAAUGAGGAACAUGAGAACACUGGAGUAGAAAGCUGGGUGGGCAUCAGACAGCUGACCAAAAUUUUCACUAUCAAAAUGGCAGAAGUUACCUUUGGGAAUUGCCUUCGGAGUGUUUAUGAGCUGCAAAAGAACAUCAAUUAGUCUUAUUACUUUACAGUUUUCUCUGUCUAUGUAGGGUAAAAACAUUAUAUAUCCAUAUAAAAUAUAUAUCAUUAAAACUUAGCCUGUUGGACAUUUCUUUUUUUAUUUUUAAUUGUAACUUUUGUGGGUACAUGGUGUACAUAUUCAUGGAAUGCAUGAGAUGUUUUGAUACAGGUGUGCAAUGUGUGAUAAUCACAACAUGGAGAAUGGGGUAUCUAUCCCCUCAAGCAUUUAUACUUUGUAUUAUAAACAAUCCAAUUAUACUCUUUUAGUUAUUUUUUAAUGUACGAUUCAAUUAUGAUUGACUAUAGUCACCCUGUUGUGCUAUCAAAUACUAGGUCUUAUUCAGUCUUUCUAAAUUUUUGGUACCCAUUAACCAUUCCCACCCCUCUGCCCUUCCACCACUCUUUCCAGCCAGUUGGACAUUUCUUUUAUAAACUGAAGUAUGUGGCGAAUGACUUUUAACCAUUUCCGAAAAUCAAACACGAUGUAAAAAUAUUACACUUGUGGACUCAGAAUACCAAAAAUAUGUGUUUCCAGCCCUGAUGGCAAUCUUCAAAGAGGGAUUGCAGCAUACCUGGAGUAGCCACAGCACCGUUGUCAGCACUGAGCCCACACAAGUGACUGUUGACACAGGGACCGUAUUCUGUGUAUAUCUAUGUUCUGAGAAUAUUUUGUUGUUGUGGUGGUGGUUGGAAAAGCUUUUAUAUGACAGUUUAUGGCUCACAGUGGUGUCUGGCUGGUGGCCUUCAAUGCAAUGACUCAUAAGAACCUCUCCUUCAGUCACCCUUGAAGACCCAACAAAGCUGGGGAAAGGAGGGGAAUUUCCCGAUACCAUUGACAAUGAAGAUGGACAAGCUAACGGCAGAACCUCAGAAGGAUCUGACUUCAGAUAUGCACGCAGCGUACCCUGGCUUCAUUUCACAAAAACAGUACCCUUUUGCAAAGGGAGGAAGUGACUUUCUCAUGACCCGAACCAGAAAAUAGGCAGCCACGGGACUCUAUGCACUGAUUCCACCUUGGGGAGCAGGCAGAACAUGUCCCCUUUGUGACCACGUUCACUGGCAUCUUUCUGGAUCCAGAUAGAGUGCAAAACUUAGAAACAGCUGAGUGGUACGCAGAGGGGGUACAGGUACAGAUCAUACCGUGCAGGCAGGUAUGAC
ensembl:lncRNA LINC02977 long intergenic non-protein coding RNA 2977